GGCGGACGGGUGAGUAACACGUAAGUAACCUACCCUUAAGCUGGGGACAACUCAGGGAAACUUGAGCUAAUACCCGAUAAGACCACGAACUGAGAUGUUAGUGGUAAAAGGAGCAAUUCACUUAAGAAUGGGCUUGCGGCCUAUCAGGUAGUUGGUGAGGUAACGGCCCACCAAGCCUAAGACGGGUAGCCGGACUGAGAGGUUGAACGGCCACACUGGAACUGAGAUACGGUCCAGACUCCUACGGGAGGCAGCAGUGGGGAAUCUUGCGCAAUGGGGGAAACCCUGACGCAGCGACGCCGCGUGGAGGAUGAAGGCCUUCGGGUUGUAAACUCCUUUUCUCAGGGAAAAUGGUGAUGGUACCUGAGGAAUAAGCCACGGCUAACUCUGUGCCAGCAGCCGCGGUAAGACAGAGGUGGCGAGCGUUGUUCGGAAUUACUGGGCUUAAAGGGCGAGUAGGCGGUAAGGCAAGUCCGAGGUGGAAUCCUAUGGCUUAACCAUAGAACGGCCUCGGAAACUGCUUUUCUUG
rnacentral:rRNA from 1 species